rnacentral:tRNA from 1 species
GCGGGAAUAGCUCAGUUGGUAGAGCACGACCUUGCCAACGGGGUCGCUUCGAGUCUCGUUUCCCGCUCCA